GCUCCGGUGGCGUAGUGGUUAGAGCGUCCGCCUCAAGCGCGGAAGAUUGUGGGUUCGAACCCCGGCCGAGUCA